GUGAACGCUGGCGGUAGGCCUAACACAUGCAAGUCGAACGGCAGCACAGUAAGAGCUUGCUCUUACGGGUGGCGAGUGGCGGACGGGUGAGGAAUACAUCGGAAUCUACUUUUUCGUGGGGGAUAACGUAGGGAAACUUACGCUAAUACCGCAUACGACCUACGGGUGAAAGCAGGGGAUCUUCGGACCUUGCGCGAUUGAAUGAGCCGAUGUCGGAUUAGCUAGUUGGCGGGGUAAAGGCCCACCAAGGCGACGAUCCGUAGCUGGUCUGGGAGGAUGAUCAGCCACACUGGAACUGAGACACGGUCCAGACUCCUACGGGAGGCAGCAGUGGGGAAUAUUGGACAAUGGGCGCAAGCCUGAUCCAGCCAUACCGCGUGGGUGAAGAAGGCCUUCGGGUUGUAAAGCCCUUUUGUUGGGAAAGAAAAGCAGCAGGUUAAUACCCCGCUGUUCUGACGGUACCCAAAGAAUAAGCACCGGCUAACUUCGU
rnacentral:rRNA from 1 species